rnacentral:rRNA from 1 species
UACGUAGGGACCAAGCGUUGUUCGGAUUUACUGGGCGUAAAGGGCGCGUAGGCGGCAAAUUAAGUCAUCUGUGAAAUCUCCGAGCUUAACUCGGAACGGUCAGGUGAUACUGAUCUGCUAGAGUGCGGAAGGGGCAAUCGGAAUUCUUGGUGUAGCGGUGAAAUGCGUAGAUAUCAAGAGGAACACCUGAGGUGAAGACGGGUUGCUGGGCCGACACUGACGCUGACAGCGCGAAAGCCAGGGGAGCAAACGGGG